rnacentral:rRNA from 1 species
UCGAGCGSCGUAGCAUACGKAGYGGCAGACGGGUGAGUAACGCGUGGGAACAUACCYUUYGGUUCGGAAYAACWCAGGGAAACUUGWGCUAAUACCGGAUAMGYCCKYAMGGRGAAAGAUUUAUCGCCGAARGAUUGGCCCGCGUCUGAUUAGCUWGUUGGUGAGGUAAUGGCUCACCAAGGCGACGAUCAGUAGCUGGUCUGAGAGGAUGAUCAGCCACAUUGGGACUGAGACACGGCCCAAACUCCUACGGGAGGCAGCAGUGGGGAAUAUUGGACAAUGGGCGMAAGCCUGAUCCAGCCAUGCCGCGUGAGUGAUGAAGGCCCUAGGGUUGUAAAGCUCUUUURCCUGGGAAGAUAAUGACGGUACCAGGAGAAUAAGCCCCGGCUAACUUCGUGCCAGCAGCCGCGGUAAUACGAAGGGGGCUAGCGUUGUUCGGAUUUACUGGGCGUAAAGCGCACGUAGGCGGAUCUUUAAGUCAGGGGGUGAAAUCCCGGGGCUCAACCUCGGAACUGCCUUU